GAAAUGUAUCAAUCCAUGAAAACAGAUGGAUUCAGAUUGAUUUAGAUGGGACAAUCAUGUGUCUUAAUAGGAGAGGUGUGUAACUGAGUUCAAGCAUGUU